rnacentral:rRNA from 15 species
UAGUGAUGAAUGUCUAGAAUCAUGACUCGAGAACUUAGUAUGUUAUUACGAGCCUUGCGAUGACUGUUAGACUGAUACGUAAUGCAAGUUGCAGAAUUCAGAGAAUUAUCAAGUUUUUGAACA